CAAUGAGCGCGGACCCAGCAGGACUUGCGGUCUGAAAGCUGAACCGGGUGAGAAACAAGUGUGGCAGAGUCCCUGGACACUCGGGGCUGGUAACACAGAACAGAGCUGGAACUCAAGGUCCCUCGGGCUCCUGUGAUCUUGGGGGAGUCAUUUGGAAGCGACUGUCAUAGAAAGCCACUACCUUAAGAGGUAUAGAGACAGAGCAAGGCAGACAGGAGCAGCUCCCCAGUGUCAGCACAUGCUCAAGGCAGGGGUAUUUCACAACCAUCCAAUGGCAUCAGAUCAGUGAAGGAGAGAAAAAGACUGAAGCACAAGGUUCAGCAGGUGUCUGCCAGACCCCGCGGUUGCCUUUGAUUUAGCUGCACCGGCGUCUCCACUCUCAGAGGUCUGUCCUGUCAUCCUCUACGAAGCCGAGGUGGGUUUAUGUGGUAACCUGAGCCAGGGCCAUUUCCUGCCCACUGACGACAGCACAUCUGUUAACGCUUGCCGUAGUGACCGCCAAAGCCACAUCAGGACUACGGAGCUGCUGAGCACACACAGAGCAGGAGCUGCCCAAAAGCAAAUGUCCUACAAGUUUCCAAAGUACGAAAAAGGAGCUGUAUUUCCAU
rnacentral:lncRNA from 1 species